ensembl:snoRNA
UGCCGCAGUGCAGACUCUACUGUGGGUUUGUCCUGUUCAGUGGGCUGAUCCCAGAACAGCUGUGGCUAUAUCACUACAUCAGGUUUUGCUUUCACCUCUGCACUGCUGGUUGCAGAACGGUGACAAUGAGGCCUGAAACAUUU